rnacentral:rRNA from 1 species
AGUGAACGCUGGCGGCAGGCCUAAUACAUGCAAGUCGAACGGCAGCACAGCAGAGCUUGCUCUGUGGGUGGCGAGUGGCGGACGGGUGAGGAAUACGUGGGAAUCUGCCCAGUCGUGGGGGAUAACGUAGGGAAACUUACGCUAAUACCGCAUGCGCCCUUCGGGGAAAGCCGGGGACCUUCGGCCUGGCGCGAUUGGAUGAGCCCACGUCGGAUUAGCUAGUUGGCGGGGUAAAGGCCCACCAAGGCGACGAUCCGUAGCUGGUCUGAGAGGAUGAUCAGCCACACUGGAACUGAGACAUGGUCCAGACUCCUACGGGAGGCAGCAGUAGGGAAUAUUGGACAAUGGGCGCAAGCCUGAUCCAGCCAUGCCGCGUGAGUGAAGAAGG